AUUUUAAUGGAUAAUGUUUACAUUUUAUACCAUACAUCACCUACGUACCAAUAUUUGGAUUAAAAAACAUGUGAACUACAAAAAAAACUAAAUAGAAAACAAGAAAAACAAAUGAAAAACAAAUUGCCAAGAGGAGAAUACGGAUACAGUAUGACCUUGAUGGAGUAUAUAUAUAAGUUGAAACGAAUCAUAUUAAAAUAUCAUUUGUGGACAGUGCUUGGUAUAUUUUAAAGGAAACGAUCGAUAUACCCUGUCAGCAGUACUAGUGCAUUUACAACUGUGAUCAGCCUCUGUUAUCAUGAAGCAUUUAUUGAGCUGCCUAAUAAUUAUUGUGACUGUUCAUGGCAUGUGUGCUUCAUUAUGCACUACGACCAACAAGGAAAAGGUUGGGCGUGUUGUGUUUGGUGAAGCGAGUGGUGAAUCAGCCAGUGGACAGCUAGAGGUUGCAUAUACGAUUGUAAACAGAAUAAAUCAUGCCGGAUUUCCAAAUUCAUUAAAUGGAGUUGUAGAGCAGACAUAUACAUCGGGAGGUAAAACGUAUCAUCAUUAUAACACAUUAGAUAAUUCUGGUCACGACCAAAGAUGGACAGCAGCGAAAAAACCAGGUGCAAAAGAGCAUUCAGCGUAUAAUUCAGCAAUAACUCAAGCCGGGCAUGCACUUUGUGCGACAAAGUCUGAUCCUAUGAGUUGCGGCCCGGUCAAUUUUUGUGCCACAAAUCCGUGUGCCUCUACGAACAGUAAUAAGUAUUGGUGUGUGACCGAGAAAAAAAAGAUCGGAUCUCAUUGGUUUACUUGCAUCAAGAAAAAAACAGGAAAAUGCUGAACUUUGAAACUUAAAAUUUUCUUAUCUUGAGUUUCAAAUGUGAGAUAAAUAAGAGAAAAAAAAAUAAAAAAAAAAAAAUGAUCUCACACAAAGCCAUGCAUUUAUCAUUGAUUAUUAUGAAGAUUAUCACAUAUCACUUUCUAUGUAAAUCAGAUAUCAAUAUAUUUGUUUAAUAGAAAUGGUUUCUUC